rnacentral:lncRNA from 1 species
AUUAUGAUGACACGAUUCAUGCCAGUGCAGAUGAAAUUUGGAAUUUAUAAUGUGCGAGGAGCCAUGAGAAUGGUAGAUGGGCUUAUGAACCAAUAGGUGGCUUAAGAACCUAGAACAUCAGAUGAACUUCAGAUAACAUGGGAAUAUAUCACAGUAUUUCUUCUUAUUUAGUCUUCCAUGUCAACUAAUACAAAGUGCAUAUUCCCUCUGCCGUUUCACUUGCAAAAUGUUAAGGCUUCCUGGGUGAUUUCCAAUCGUCGGACCUCUGAAGUGCUUGGUGGACAAGAACAUACGUGGGGACUUCCUGACUCUCUUCAUACUUUAAUAUACAACUCGAUUGUCCUGUAUGCUCACUCUAUAUUUUAA